GUUACAGAGGAGCUUGAGAUGGUGAAGAACUACUACAAUGAACUGAUGGGAAGCCCAGAUACAGAAUCACUUCUCGGGCCUGAUUCACCCGGCCAAGCAGCUGCACUGCGUCCAUGACGUGCACAGGUUUCAGGAGGCCUCAUAACCCACUGAGGGUCCCUGCAGCACGCUGGUUAGAGUCUCGUGACUCAAAGUACUUAUCCCUGUUCUCUUUGAGUGUUUGUUUGUUGUGAAUUACACGCAGACAGUUUUCAGAUUUUCUAUUUUUGGUAUGACAUCUUUGCUUUUAAUUGAUAAAAGAUCAGAGGCAAACAGAAAAUGAGGAGGGGGAUGACAUGCAGCACAUUUCCUCAGUCUGAUUCAAACCAGGGACAUUGUUGUUUUCAUGGUAGGAGUCCUAGGUGUGAAGGAAAAUAGUGACACACUCUUAACCAAGAUAUAAAACAAAUAUUUGAUAACUUUCCAACGUUUCGACAUGACAGUCUUCUUUAGGGUGUUGAGGGACGAAAACACAGACAUUUAAUAAGACACAGGUGUGCUCUAUCAAGGGGAGUGUCCUCAAUGACAUUUACAUCAUGUAGCUCCCUGAUUCAUGUCAUUUAAAAAAGCAGUUUGAUCAAAGCCUUAGUUUAUACUGUGUAUCAAGGAACAUGUCUUUG